rnacentral:rRNA from 2 species
AUGAUUUACAUUUGAGUGAGUGGCGAACUGGUGAGUAACACGUGGGAAACCUGCCCAGAAGCGGGGGAUAACACCUGGAAACAGAUGCUAAUACCGCAUAACAACUUGGACCGCAUGGUCCGAGUUUGAAAGAUGGCUUCGGCUAUCACUUUUGGAUGGUCCCGCGGCGUAUUAGCUAGAUGGUGGGGUAACGGCUCACCAUGGCAAUGAUACGUAGCCGACCUGAGAGGGUAAUCGGCCACAUUGGGACUGAGACACGGCCCAAACUCCUACGGGAGGCAGCAGUAGGGAAUCUUCCACAAUGGACGAAAGUCUGAUGGAGCAACGCCGCGUGAGUGAAGAAGGGUUUCGGCUCGUAAAACUCUGUUGUUAAAGAAGAACAUAUCUGAGAGUAACUGUUCAGGUAUUGACGGUAUUUAACCAGAAAGCCACGGCUAACUACGUGCCAGCAGCCGCGGUAAUACGUAGGUGGCAAGCGUUGUCCGGAUUUAUUGGGCGUAAAGCGAGCGCAGGCGGUUUUUUAAGUCUGAUGUGAAAGCCUUCGGCUCAACCGAAGAAGUGCAUCGGAAACUGGGAAACUUGAGUGCAGAAGAGGACAGUGGAACUCCAUGUGUAGCGGUGAAAUGCGUAGAUAUAUGGAAGAACACCAGUGGCGAAGGCGGCUGUCUGGUCUGUAACUGACGCUGAGGCUCGAAAGUAUGGGUAGCAAACAGGAUUAGAUACCCUGGUAGUCCAUACCGUAAACGAUGAAUGCUAAGUGUUGGAGGGUUUCCGCCCUUCAGUGCUGCAGCUAACGCAUUAAGCAUUCCGCCUGGGGAGUACGGCCGCAAGGCUGAAACUCAAAGGAAUUGACGGGGGCCCGCACAAGCGGUGGAGCAUGUGGUUUAAUUCGAAGCUACGCGAAGAACCUUACCAGGUCUUGACAUACUAUGCAAAUCUAAGAGAUUAGACGUUCCCUUCGGGGACAUGGAUACAGGUGGUGCAUGGUUGUCGUCAGCUCGUGUCGUGAGAUGUUGGGUUAAGUCCCGCAACGAGCGCAACCCUUAUUAUCAGUUGCCAGCAUUAAGUUGGGCACUCUGGUGAGACUGCCGGUGACAAACCGGAGGAAGGUGGGGAUGACGUCAAAUCAUCAUGCCCCUUAUGACCUGGGCUACACACGUGCUACAAUGGAUGGUACAACGAGUUGCGAACUCGCGAGAGUAAGCUAAUCUCUUAAAGCCAUUCUCAGUUCGGAUUGUAGGCUGCAACUCGCCUACAUGAAGUCGGAAUCGCUAGUAAUCGCGGAUCAGCAUGCCGCGGUGAAUACGUUCCCGGGCCUUGUACACACCGCCCGUCACACCAUGAGAGUUUGUAA